rnacentral:rRNA from 1 species
UACGGGGGGGGCAAGCGUUGUUCGGAAUUACUGGGCGUAAAGGGCUCGUAGGCGGCCAACUAAGUCGGACGUGAAAUCCCUCGGCUCAACCGGGGAACUGCGUCCGAUACUGGAUGGCUUGAAUCCGGGAGAGGGAUGCGGAAUUCCAGGUGUAGCGGUGAAAUGCGUAGAUAUCUGGAGGAACACCGGUGGCGAAGGCGGCAUCCUGGACCGGCAUUGACGCUGAGGAGCGAAAGCCAGGGGAGCAAAGCGGG